UCCUGUACCCUAUUUCUUCCCUCGCCGAAACCUUUCCUCAUCUCGCGACGCUGCCUUAACUUCGCCGAUCCUCUUCCUCCGUCAUCUCUGCCAUCGCCGAGUGCAGCCGUCGCUAAGUGCAGUCAUCGCCGAGUGUAGCCGUCGCUGGAAGGAAGGAGCAACACCAGCCCCUGCGUCUCUUCCCUAUAGUGUCGACCGCCUCCUCUGUGCCCUAACUUCCGAUCCAUCGCUGAUCACUAGCAAGAUCGCCCCGACCGACUGGCCACCUCACUGGUGUGGAUUUCCCCAAUCGCUCCGGAUUCUCUCCUAUGCAAUCUUGCCUCUCCCAAUUUGGUCGCUGCCACCCUGACGCCUCCUUCCUAUUCUUGGUCGCGGACAUCAAGCAUCGAUUAGGAGCCGAGCACCCGAUUUCACCUCUCUGACUGAGUCCUAGCCAUUGAUUCAUCGUCGUCUAAUCAUGCUGCUAGGCAUUAACGUCGAUGACCAUAGAGGGUCAGAUAUCACUGCUUCGCUGUCUUCCUCCUCACCCGCAUCGUCGCUACCCUGAUGCCACUGUUCGAUCUUGAUUUACUUGCUGCCAGCCACUAUGAGCAGCCACCAGAAGAGUUGUAUGGUAAUAAAUUCUACCUUAUCUAAGUGGUUUUUUAACUUGGUUAAUUUUGUAUAGCUAUAUAAGUCCAUUUGCAUGAUAGAUGAGUUUUUGUUCAAGGGUGUCUUGGAGGGUUAAUUCAUUAGAGCAUGUGAAUUGUGAAGGAAGGUUUUAGAUAUGAUGAGAUUGAUUAUCAGAUUUGGUGGUUAGAAAUGGAUCAUGAAGAUGAUUAUGCAUGUUUGAUUCAUGAUGUGUAGUGGAUAAUAACGGGAUGUUGGAGUUUGUGAUCAGUUAUGGAUUGGUUAUUUGAUUAUUAGGUUGAUUUAGAUAAUAGCAUGAUCAUUAUCAGGAUUAUUAGAAUGGUUAUCAAUUGUGAAGUGAUGUGUAUUAUUGAAGGAUUAAACUUAAUCUAAUGAAGGUGAUGGAGUAAUUAGAGUUAAAUUGACUUAACUCUAGUAUAGGUGGUGAAUUAUUUUAGUAAGACCUAGACAUUAAUUGGGGGUUGAUCAAUGAUCGUAUUCGAUUGGAGUUACCUUAAAUAGGUUCGAGGGAUUAGAUUUAGCUGUUUAAUUCAUAUGUGAAUAGCUAAACUGUAUAGUAUGUGAUUUACAGGACGUUGUUUCGAAACGAGCACUUCGACGUGGGGAUUGUUUAGCACAAUCUUCUUUUGAGGCGGGUACUUCUUAUUUUUGACUUUCUUUAGUUCUUUGGAACUUGGUGCAUGAGCUAUAUUUUUGAUAAGGUCUGCUUUACCUUGACUCCACUCAUAAUAUUUCUUGUACUUGAUACUUCCACUCAAACCUUUGAGUUAUUCAUUUCGAUAUCCAUACAGUCUCUUGUUGUCAUCUAUGAUAUUUAGCAGAUAUUAGAUACCAACCUUGUAUGCUUUGAUUAUUGUUUAUUUAUGUAUCGUAUUGAGCAUGUUGGCUUCAUGUAGUAUACCUGAUUCUUAUUUAUAUGUAUAUGAUGACUGUUAUAUUUUGCGCAUCAUAUCAUUACAUGCAUGUCAACGACAAAUUCUCCCUUGCGGUCGAGAGAGUUGUUGACCAGGGUCGCACGCUCGUCCACUCGAUAGAGUGGUAGUUGGAGCAGAUGCCGCUUGUCCUAUCAUGCCCCCACUCACUCACUCACGAGUAGAGGAAGUUGGAGUUGCGAGCAGCAGGGACCCCCGUCGCAGAUGUAGCUAGUUAGCUACUAUGCAACUAUCCACUCGACCACUUGAGAAAGUGGUAGCUGGAGUGUUGUACAGUUUGUCACUGACCCGACCUCUCGACCAUACAGGGGUCAUGGAGCAAAGGGGUGAGUGGGAGUGACCAUCAGUGCAUACGCUUUUAUUAUUGUUAUACCUGCCUAUGUUGUUGCUUUCUUAGGUUUACAAUUGUUCGUUUUUCCAUGUGAUACAUUUAUACUUGUUGAGCUAUAUAUGUAUUGAUCAUAUGUUGUCGACUCCGAUCUACUUAUUGAUAGAAUGUCUAUACCUCACAUGAUACCUUCGUAGUGAUGAACAGUUCAGUAGUCGAUCGGUAUUACUCCUGAUCUUCUAUUACCUAGCAUAGGAUAUGGUUUCAGGUAUGAGCAUAUAUUACUAUUUUAUUUUAGUAUAUGUUAUUUUCCUUAUGAGACUGUACACUGUUGGCUCACUCUCUAUUUGUAUAUUAUGUUCAUGCACUAUCUUUCCUUUACCCAUUGAGUCCCAGCACUCACCACCCCACAAACUAGUUUUUCUUUCAUCAGGUAGCAGGUAGAUGAAUCAAGGAUGCUUGGAGAGUCCUGGUUGCCAAUCCCAUGUCACAUCCGAGGAUAACUUUCUUUUCGGUCUUAUUUCUGUUUGGGUGGUAUAUUGAUUUUGUGUAUUUGCUUUCUAACUAGUUGAUGUGGAUUUUGGAGUCUAGUCUGGUGAUGUCAGGUAUUUUGGGGUAAUUGCUUUAUUGGUUUUACAUUCGUAUAUUUUUUUUA